rnacentral:rRNA from 1 species
CACGUAGGGUGCGAGCGUUGUCCGGAAUUAUUGGGCGUAAAGAGCUCGUAGGUGGUUUGUCGCGUUGUUCGUGAAAACCGGGGGCUUAACCCUCGGCGUGCGGGCGAUACGGGCAGACUGGAGUACUGCAGGGGAGACUGGAAUUCCUGGUGUAGCGGUGAAAUGCGCAGAUAUCAGGAGGAACACCGGUGGCGAAGGCGGUUCUCUGGGCAUUACCUGACGCUGAGGAGCGAAAGUGUGGGGAGCGAACAGG